rnacentral:rRNA from 1 species
GACGAACGCUGGCGGCGUGCUUAACACAUGCAAGUCGAACGGAAAGGCCCUGCUUUUGUGGGGUGCUCGAGUGGCGAACGGGUGAGUAACACGUGAGUAACCUGCCCUUGACUUUGGGAUAACUUCAGGAAACUGGGGCUAAUACCGGAUAGGAGCUCCUGCUGCAUGGUGGGGGUUGGAAAGUUUCGGCGGCUGGGGAUGGACUCGCGGCUUAUCAGCUUGUUGGUGGGGUAGUGGCUUACCAAGGCUUUGACGGGUAGCCGGCCUGAGAGGGUGACCGGCCACAUUGGGACUGAGAUACGGCCCAGACUCCUACGGGAGGCAGCAGUGGGGAAUAUUGCACAAUGGGCGGAAGCCUGAUGCAGCAACGCCGCGUGCGGGAUGACGGCCUUCGGGUUGUAAACCGCUUUCGCCUGUGACGAAGCGUGAGUGACGGUAAUGGGUAAAGAAGCGCCGGCUAACUACGUG